rnacentral:rRNA from 1 species
AUUGGAAGUAAAAGUCGUAACAAGGUUUCCGUAGGUGAACCUGCGGAAGGAUCAUUCACAAUGAGUGUUUUAUGGCACUCUUUAAAAAUCCAUAUCCACCUUGUGUGCAAUGUUUGUUGGGAGAGAGGCAACUCUUUCCCUUCACAAAUAUCAACCUAUAUCUUUAACAACAUUCGUCUGAUAACAUAUUAUGAAUAUACUUAAUUCAAAAUAUAACUUUCAACAACGGAUCUCUUGGCUCUCGCAUCGAUGAAGAACGCAGCGAAAUGCGAUACGUAAUGUGAAUUGCAGAAUUCAGUGAAUCAUCGAAUCUUUGAACGCAUAUUGCGCUCUUUGGUAUUCCGAAGAGCAUGCUUGUUUGAGUAUCAGUAAACACCUCAACCUCCUCUUGUUUUUUCAAAAGGAGGGUGGACUUGAGCUAUCCCAACAACCUUCACCGGUAGGCGGGCGGCUUGAAAUGCAGGUGCAGCUGGACUUUUAUCUGAGCUAAAAGCAUAUCUAUUUAGUCCUCGUCAAACAGGAUUAUUACUAUUGCUGCAGCUAACAUAAAGGAUAAUUGUCCUCAUUGCUGACUGAUGCAGGAUUUUACGACACUUUAUGUGUUGUCAACUCGAUCUCAAAUCAAG